rnacentral:rRNA from 1 species
UACAGAGGUCUCAAGCGUUGUUCGGAUUCAUUGGGCGUAAAGGGUGCGUAGGCGGCGCGGUAAGUCGGGUGUGAAAUCUCGGAGCUUAACUCCGAAACUGCAUUCGAUACUGCCGUGCUUGAGGACUGGAGAGGAGACUGGAAUUUACGGUGUAGCGGUGAAAUGCGUAGAUAUCGAGAGGAACACCUGCGGCGAAGGCGGGUUGCUGGGCUGACACUGACGCUGAUGCGCGAAAGCUAGGGGAGCGAACGGG